rnacentral:rRNA from 1 species
UACGUAGGGUCCGAGCGUUGUUCGGAAUUAUUGGGCGUAAAGGGCUCGUAGGCGGUCUGUUGCGUCGGGAGUGAAAACUUACAGCUUAACUGUGAGCGUGCUUCCGAUACGGGCAGACUUGAGGUAUUCAGGGGAGAACGGAAUUCCUGGUGUAGCGGUGAAAUGCGCAGAUAUCAGGAGGAACACCGGUGGCGAAGGCGGUUCUCUGGGAAUAUCCUGACGCUGAGGAGCGAAAGUGUGGGGAGCGAACAGG